UCGAUUGAGUUUGAUCAUGGCUCAGGACGAACGCUGGCGGCGUGCUUAACACAUGCAAGUCGAACGGUGAUGAGGAGCUUGCUUCUCUGAUCAGUGGCGAACGGGUGAGUAACACGUGAGCAAUCUGCCCUUGACUCUGGGAUAAGCGUUGGAAACGACGUCUAAUACCGGGUACGACUCUUGGAGGCAUCUCUGGGGGUGGAAAGAAUUUUGGUCAAGGAUGAGCUCGCGGCCUAUCAGCUUGUUGGUGAGGUAAUGGCUCACCAAGGCGACGACGGGUAGCCGGCCUGAGAGGGUGACCGGCCACACUGGGACUGAGACACGGCCCAGACUCCUACGGGAGGCAGCAGUGGGGAAUAUUGCACAAUGGGCGAAAGCCUGAUGCAGCAACGCCGCGUGAGGGACGACGGCCUUCGGGUUGUAAACCUCUUUUAGUAGGGAAGAAGCGUAACAGUGACGGUACCUGCAGAAAAAGCACCGGCUAACUACGUGCCAGCAGCCGCGGUAAUACGUAGGGUGCAAGCGUUGUCCGGAAUUAUUGGGCGUAAAGAGCUCGUAGGCGGUUUGUCGCGUCUGCUGUGAAAACCCGAGGCUCAACCUCGGGCCUGCAGUGNNUACGGGCAGACUAGAGUGCGGUAGGGGAGAUUGGAAUUCCUGGUGUAGCGGUGGAAUGCGCAGAUAUCAGGAGGAACACCAAUGGCGAAGGCAGAUCUCUGGGCCGUAACUGACGCUGA
rnacentral:rRNA from 1 species